rnacentral:rRNA from 1 species
AACGAACGCUGGCGGCGUGUUUAAGACAUGCAAGUCGCACGGUGUCAUUUUGGUAGCAAUACUUGGAUGGCACAGUGGCGCACGGGUGAGUAACACGUGAAUGACAUGCCCUUCAGAGGGGGAUAGCCCAGGGAAACUUGGAUUAAUACCCAUGGUCUCGCAAGAGUAAAGGUGGCCGCAAGGCUGUCGCUGGAGGAUUGGUUCGCGUUCUAUCAGCUUGUUGGCGGGGUAACGGCCCACCAAGGCUACGACGGAUACCUGGUCUGAGAGGACGAUCAGGCACACUGGAACUGAGACACGGUCCAGACACCUACGGGUGGCAGCAGUCGAGAAUAAUUCACAAUGGGGGCAACCCUGAUGGUGCAACGCCGCGUGGAGGAUGAAGGUCUUCGGAUUGUAAACUCCUGUCAUCCGGGAGCAAGACCUGACGGUGAAUAGCCGGCAGGGUUGAUAGUACCGGAAGAGGAAGGGACGGCUAACUUCGUGCCAGCCGCCGCCGUAAGAC